ACAAAGCAUGACUAAGCAGGACGCCAAGAGACUUUAUUCUAUGUCGGACUUACAUUCCCUACUUGACUUAAAAGACCCCCAGGAUCUUUUAUGUUUUAGGUUUUAUUGUAUAUAUUGU